rnacentral:rRNA from 1 species
GACAGAGGAGGCAAGCGUUGUUCGGAAUCACUGGGCUUAAAGCGCGUGUAGGCGGCCGAGAAAGUGUCGUGUGAAAUCCCACGGCUCAACCGUGGAACUGCACGGCAAACUACUCGGCUUGAGGUCGGUAGAGGUGCCUGGAACUCUAGGUGGAGCGGUGAAAUGCGUAGAUAUCUAGAGGAACGCCGGAGGCGAAAGCGGGGCACUGGGCCGAUUCUGACGCUGAGACGCGAAAGCGUGGGGAGCAAACAGG